UACGUAGGGUGCGAGCGUUGUCCGGAAUUAUUGGGCGUAAAGAGCUCGUAGGCGGUGUGUCGCGUCGGCCGUGAAAACCUGGGGCUUAACUCUGGGCGUGCGGUCGAUACGGGCAUCACUAGAGUUCGGCAGGGGAGACUGGAAUUCCUGGUGUAGCGGUGAAAUGCGCAGAUAUCAGGAGGAACACCGGUGGCGAAGGCGGGUCUCUGGGCCGAUGACUGACGCUGAGGAGCGAAAGCAUGGGUAGCGAACAGG
rnacentral:rRNA from 1 species